AUUGAACGCUGGCGGCAGGCUUAACACAUGCAAGUCGAGCGGUAACAGAGAGAAGCUUGCUUCUCUGCUGACGAGCGGCGGACGGGUGAGUAAUGCCUAGGAAUCUGCCUAGUAGUGGGGGAUAACUUGCCGAAAGGUAAGCUAAUACCGCAUACGUCCUACGGGAGAAAGGAGGGGACCUUCGGGCCUUUCGCUAUUAGAUGAGCCUAGGUCGGAUUAGUUAGUUGGUGAGGUAAUGGCUCACCAAGACCGCGAUCCGUAACUGGUCUGAGAGGAUGAUCAGUCACGCUAGAACGGAGAAACGGUCCAGACUCCUACGGGAGGCUGCAGUAGGGAAGAUUGGACAAUGGGGGGAACCCUGAUUCAGCCAUGCCGCGUGUGUGAAGAAGGUCUUAGGAUUGUGAAGCACUUUAAGUUGAGAGGAAGAGCAGUUAACUAAUAUUUCGCUGUUUUGACGUUACCGACAGAAUAAGCACCGGCUAACUACGUGCCAGCCGCCGCCGUAA
rnacentral:rRNA from 1 species